AACGUAGGACGCAAGCGUUAUCCGGAGUUAUUGGGCGUAAAGCGCGUGUAGGCGGCCAGGUAGGUCGGCUGUGAAAACUCGAGGCUCAACCUCGAGCUGUCGGCCGAAACCAUCUGGCUAGAGUCCGGAAGAGGAGAGUGGAAUUCCAGGUGUAGCGGUGAAAUGCGUAGAUAUCUGGAAGAACACCGGUGGCGCAAGCGGAUUGCUGGGCCAUAACUGACACUGAGGAACGAAAGCUAGGGGAGCAAAUGGG
rnacentral:rRNA from 1 species